UGAGGCGACCAGAUAAUGGCAGCAAAACAUUGAGUGAACUUAAAUUUCAGGUAACACUCUGUUCAUAUGAGAUCACUGACCUCAUCCUUUUUCUUGGCAUUUGGUAUUGACUUGUUUCUUGCCACUGCGGAUAGAAGAUUACUUGGAUGUGGCUAUCCUGAUCCAAUGAGCGUUAUGGCACCUGUAUUGGAAUUAUAAUUACGCAGACUUGUACUACUUUGUGUUUCUUCUUACAUCUGCAUAAUCUGUAUUUUUCUUGAUAAGCUGACCUAAUGUUCGUUUCUGUUGUAAAUAUGAGAUUAUGUCUUGAGUUCUCUAUGACUAGAUCUGUUAUAUUGCCUUUGUAUGUCAUGG
rnacentral:lncRNA from 1 species